CUUUAUAUAUAUAUAUAUAUAUAUAUAUAUAUAUAUAUGUAUGUAUAAAUUUGUUUUCUGAACAACCAAAGACCUACAUAUAUAUAUAUAUAUGUGUGUGUGUGCUUUUACCUCUUUAUAUUUCUUCAUAUAUAUGUUUAUAUACUAUAUAAUCUUUUUGCGUGAUGCUUAUGUAUAUUGUUGUAACCAAAUAAAUAAAUAAAAUAAAUAUAAGAAUAGAUUAAGAAAGUAUUUUUCCACUGGAUCAGUGUAUGUUAUCUGCUUGCCGGUUCUGGUGAGUUAAAAGGCCUUUCUUAGUCUGAUCUUGAAAGGAAGAGAUUUAGAGGAAUUCAGCAUUAAGCUUGCCAAAGCAUCCAUCUUCCCUUAUAGGGAAAGACAAAAGUGUUUAGAGAAGAUAUUUAUCCCCUGGUUGCUGUUAGUUAACAAAACUGCCAAUUCCACUGAUUUCAUGUUUACUCAUCAUUGUCUGCUCUUAGAUUCUGAGGUGGAAACUAUUGCUGCCUGACCACUCAUUGCUUAGGAUAGGAAAAUAUAUCUGCUGAUAGACCAAAAGGAGCACUUUACUGUGCUAAACUGUUUCACAUAUCAAAAAAGUGCAGAAUCCUAAGGAAUGCAAUGAUACAACAGUUGAUUUUCUUUAGAUCACAUUUUUAUUUUGAAGUGAGGUGGACCUCGCUCAAAGUACAGGUUUAUAAUCCCCAUCUGUACUUCAACUAUAUAUUUAGGUUACACUUCAAUAUUCCAACAUAUAACCAUCAACAAAGCUAUAGGCAACAAGACAUGGAGCCUAUGAGAAUAAGCAUAUACCAUCUAUAGCCCCUGGACUAUGAUACUAAAUCACCAGAAAUUAAAGAAAUAAAGGUACCAUAUCUUGACCGUCUUCAAGCUUCUAUUCCCCCAGUCUUUAUUUUAAAUAAAGAACAAUAAGUAAAGAUAAUAUUAAAAAAUGAACUGUAUUUUAUUCAAAAUAAAUAUAAAGACGCAGUGGAAUUCCUUCACUCUAAUAUUGGAGUUAGCAGAACUACAACCUCCUUUGGUCUCUGGCAAAAAGUCAAAAAACCAUUGAAACAUUCAUCAGUUACCUCCUCUUAAAAGCUAUGUGAGCAUUUUGGUGUUGCUGUCUCAUAACCUUUGUUGCAAUGGGAAUAAUUAUGUUUGCAAUGCUGGUGCUUUCCUUGGUUAGCAGCUUGAUUGUUCAACAUGCUAACUUUACCUUCAUGCUGAACAGCAAUAUUUUGUAUCAACAGUUAUUAAGUCUCAGCAGAACCCUCGUUUUCAAUGUGGAAAAGGUCACUGGCAAAUUAAUUUGGGGCAGGGGAGAGAGCUCAAUGCAUUGUACAAAACAGCAAAUGGAUCAGAGCCAUGCACAAAACAAGUGUAGAUAUACAAAGUUGUUCACCACAAAUAAUAAAUUCUGGACUGAGUAACUGACUUUAUUUAUUUAUAUAUAUAAGUUUGCCCAACUCAAGACUGGGAACUAUACAGAUUAAAAAUAGAGAUAAUGUUUCAAAACGUGUGCUAACAUUUAUGAUUCUGUUACCCCUUACAACAAUAAAGUAGUAUAGCUGGAAUCUUUUGGAAGCUGGUACCUUUUUCUAACCUUUUUAAUCACAUCUUAUCCUAAAAAAGCUCAAGAAAAGGUUAUGUUUCUUCCUUACCCUUACUUCAAUCUGUUCUAACUGCUUGUCCAUGUCCAGCUUUAGGAGGUCUUGAAUAAUUUCAUCUCUAAAUUAUUUUCUAGAAACUGACAUAGUUGAAACUGAAACAGACACUGCAUCUCAGAUGGCCAGACCUAUCCCAGAGCUUCAGGACAAAAAUCAGGUUUUCAGACAUUGUUUAAAGACCUGCAGGUUAAGGACAGUCCAAACCUCUGGCAGGAUGUUAUUCCACGUACCAUAACAGAGAGGGUAUACUUCCUAUGUCCUAUCAAAUAACAUUGUUUAAUAUAUGGGACUUAAAGUGUGCCAACUGGAUAGAAUAGAUUGGACAGUCAUUACAAGAGCCAGAAUGUCUCUCAGACAGACAUCCCCUGUAUCAUGAAGGGCUUUGUAAGUGAUAAGCAGCACCCUCAAGUUGUAUGUGAAAACUCAAUAGAAGUCAUUUCGGCUCAUAUAACAGAGUUGUUUCAUAGGCAUACUCAUAACUGCUUCUGUUGCUUUAGCAGUCCCCUAUGAAGUGCAUUGAAUAAUCAACAUAUGACGGGAUAUGAAGGGAUAUGAAGGGAUUCCCAAUCCUGGAAAGAGUGCAACUGGUACAACAGAUGGACCUGUAUAAAGAAUGUUCGGAUCAUAGAUGCCACCUGCUUUUUCAGCAGGAGUACUGGCAAAAGGAAAAUUCCCAAAUUGUGCACCAGUUUUGUUAAGGGAAUUAGUCCAUUUAGAGCCAAAUAUGGAGAAUCACCAGCAGUGGAAAAAUCAGUACCCAUAUCUAAUCAGUCUUGCCACUUUAAGCCUGAUCCUAUGCAUCUGGACCUGAAACCCUUCCAAUCAUUGGGAUAAGACUUUAAUGGUAUCACUUGGUAUACCAGAGGUCAAAAUAUACACUGUGUGUCAUCAACAUACUGAUGAUACAUGAUGCCAUGUUGAUGGAUGACCUCAGCUAGCAAUUCCAUGUAGAUGUUAAAAACAGCAGAGGCGAGAACAUAGAGGAGCUUUGGACUGGAUCUCUACCCACCUGUCAGCAGUUGGAACUGACCAUGGAGAAACAAGAUUUAUCUGUUUUAUUUAUCAACUGUAGAUACACGGAAUUGUAGAUAAGAAGGUCCAGCUGUACUGUGAAUGAAAGAAGGCUAAAUUCCAUUCCACCUGGCAUGUUGCCUUAAUACAAAUUUGCAACAGCCUUGUGGAACAGAGCUAACCCUUUUCCCUAUAUGUUUAGUGCAUUAUUAUCAUCUCUGAAAAAUUUGAUUACUAGAUUUGGGGGAAAAGAACCUCAUCUGUUCAGAUUGUAUGUCGAUAAAGGAUAAAAUCAGUUGCAAAAUAUAAUGACUAGGAAUUUAAAACAGAAUUCUACUGUAUUGUAACUAAAAUUGCUGAUCAACAAACUCUGUUCCAAACAUUCUAUUUUUUAACAAUAACCAGUAUGAAUAUCAUAUAAAUAAAAUCAUUAAGUAAUUUUUUUAAUGUUUUGUCUUCCUUUAGUAAAGACUUGAUAAAGCCUCACACUACUGAAUACUUUAGAACAGAAGCCCAGCUGUCAGGUCCAUAGUUAUUUCAUAGUGAAUAUCUUUUCUGGCUUUGAAAGCAUCAAAUUUUUGGCAUCCAUCCUUGAUCCUCUCCCCUUUACUAUGUAUGAAUUGCUUAUCAUUCCCUCACAGCUGAACAACAAAUAGCCUGGAUUGCACAAGGAUUGUCAAGUACAAUCAACAAUUUUUCCCAUCCCAACAUAGUGCCCUGCAACAAGGCAGAGUUUGAACUGGUGGGAAUCUCAAUAGUCCAGCUUUCAAUAUUCCUCAAAAAGAGAAAGAAAAAUGAAAUAUAUCUGCCUCCUAUAAAAUGUUACUUUUUUUAAAAUAGUUCUUUUCACAAGGUCCAUCCUUCCUUCGAUCGUGCUAUAUAGAAAGAUAUAAAAAGAGUUAAAUAUAAAAUCGUUUCUAAUUUAUUUAUUCAUCUAAGUUAUAUGGCCACCCAUCUCACAAGAAGUGAUUCUGGGAGGACUACCGGAAAAAAAAGGAAAGUUACUUUUACAGACCCCUCACAUCCUGGACAUAAAUGGUUUCAACUCCUACCCUCAAAACUAUGCUAUAGAGCACACCAGAACAACUAGACACAAGAACAGUUUUUCCCCAAACGCUAUCACUCUGCUAAACAAAUAAUUCCUUCAACAUUGUCAAACUAUUUACUAAGUAUGCACUACUAUUAAUCUUCUCAUUGUUCCCAUCACCCAUCUUCUUCAACUUAUGACUGUAUGACUGUAACUUGCUUGUAUCCUUACAAUGUAAAUUUAUAUUGUUUCCAGACUGCUUAUUUGUACCCUGACUAUCAUUUUGUUGUAUCUUAUGAUUCUUGAUGAACUUUACUUUUCUUUUAUGUACACUGAGAGCAUAUGCAGCAAGACAAAUUCCUUGUGUGUCCAAUCACACUUGGCCAAUAAAAAGUUCUGUUCUGUUCUAUUCUAUUCUAAAAAUGAUUAGCACAUCAAACACAGUUAUAUAUUCAAAACAGAAACACACAUCUAUGAGUUGAUCAGCAAGACAGCUACAUCAAGAUCUCAAUGUUACUAGCAUUUCUACUCCUAUUCCAGGACCACACUUUACAUUUGUUUGAAACCUCCGCUUACUUUAUUUGCUCUAAGUCACCCUUUCCCAAUUUGGCAGUCUCUAGAUGCUUAGCUCCUUGAACAUCAACCCCAGAACGAUAAAAAAAUAUCAUGCUGGUUGGGAAUUCUGUUGAGUACACACAUCUCAAUAAUAAAAAAUCUGAAAAAUGCUUUAAACUUAUUUAUAUUCAGCUGACCCUAUUCUUCAUAAAUACUUAUCCUCCAGUGAAGAAUAGGCACUGGAUUCAUACGUUUCUGCUGUGAGAGAAUUUCAACACUAUGUUGUGGAUUUUUUAAACUACAGUUUCCAGUUAAAUAAAGCGAACUGGAGUUUAAAAUUAACUCCAGUUAAACUUGUUAUCAAACUGAAAUCCAUUCACAAUUCUAUUAAAACAUAAUAUGGAACUAAAUUUGAAAGAAAUGACAAUGGAAGUUUACAAGAAGUUAGAUGAAUUAAGAACUAUUAGCUCAGGUAAGGCUAAUUAUCUGCUUAAUAUUACGACAUAUAUAGCUAGAACUCAUAUUCAAACUGUAUAAAAUCUUAGCAAAAUAAAAAAACUCAAAGUCUCUAAUAUUACUAUUAUCAACAAGUCAAUCAAUACUCAGAUUUUGGUGGCAGAAGAGCAAUAACCUGUGUCUUCAAUUUGCAUAAGAGUCAUCAAUUUCAACCAUUUUAAUACCAUCUUCAUAAAUUCAUGAUGCUCCUACAUGACAAUUCUAUACAUGUAACAGUUGAUCAGUUAAAAAAAAUUCAUUGGUACUAGGUAAGUUGUGGUCAUUUUUCAUUUUAUAGAAUAUAUGGCCACUGCUAAUAAGCUAAGUAGUCCAAUUUUUGACAGCAAGUAAACAAUGUCUCACAUUCAAAAAUGCUCAAUUCUCAUAAAUCCCUUUUGCCAGAUAAAACCUCUUUAUGAUCAGAGUUAUUUUUCCUGUUUGUGAAUAUACCCAAAGAUGUCUGCUAAAGUAAUUUAAAAAAAAACUACUUGGUUUUAUUUUCUUGUUUCUUUUUAAAGAACAAACGAACAUAUAUUUUUGUACAAGGCAAGCUAAAGGCAUGAAAAUGCAGAGAAAAUGAUGAGGAAACUAAUGUGGAAACACCAGCAAAGAUAUACUGUUAAGGUAUUAGUUUUAAAUGUAUUUCUUCUGCCUUUAUGUGGGAGGUUUUUACUACUGAAAAUGAACAGAGUAAAACUGGCAACUAUCUUCCUGCCCUCUUCCAGCAAAACCUCUAUCCCUAGUAUCAUAAGGCAUUCUCGGCAAGUCAGCUUGUCAUAAAUCAGCAGGCAGGUGCAUAUCAACAUGAGUCCAUAAAUUCCAGCCUCACUUCACUGACACAACAGAAGUCCUGCUGAUGGGGGAAAUAACUGGUCUGUAAGGAUAAGGUUCCCCUUUUCUAUUCAAGCUGGCCAGACCGUGAACAUGAAACUGUGAAAAUCACAUUGCUUUACCUGUAUCUCUAAAGAUAUCUCAGUGAUCCGAUUUUGUUGAUUGUCUAUGACCUGUUGAGGAAAAGAAGAAACUCUCACAUAAUGUCUGGAAAACAGAACUGAGAGGCUGCAAGGGAGACUAGGAAUUUAUGCUCCAACAUCAGUUGGGCUAUUGCACUGGUACAGGAGCACUGUUGGAUUUAUUGUCUGUGUAUUCAAUAAUUCUGAACAUAAUCAAUAGUUAAAGGGAUUCUGUGUUACACACAGAAACUGUCUAGAGUACACUGUGGGCAGGUAGGAAGCACUAAAAUGUAUCAUUCGGCAAAACCUCUGAAAGGGCUGCUUUUAAAGCAAAACAACACA